GGGGUCGGGGGGGGCAGGNCUAACACAUNCAUAGUCGAGCGGUAGAGAGAAGCUUNCUUCUCUUGAGAGCGGCGGACGGGUGAGUAAUGCCUAGGAAUCUGCCUGGUAGUGGGGGAUAACGUUNGGAAACGGACGCUAAUNCCGCAUACGUCCUACGGGAGAAAGCAGGGGACCUUNGGGCCUUGCGCUAUCAGAUGAGCCUAGGUCGGAUUAGCUAGUUGGUGGNUAAUGNCUCACCANGGCGACGAUCCGUCCCUGGUCUGAGAGGAUGNUCANUCACACUGGAACUGAGACACGGUCCAGACUCNUACGGGAGGCUAGCAGNGGGGAAUAUUGGACAAUGGGCGAUAAGCCUGAUCCAGCCAUGCCGCGUGUGUGAAGCAAGGUCUUCAGGAUUGUAAAGCACUNUAAGUUGGGAGGAAGGGCAUUAACCUAAUACGUUACGUGUUGAGACGUACNGACAGAAUUAGCACCNGCAC
rnacentral:rRNA from 1 species